rnacentral:tRNA from 1 species
GCGAGAAUGGCGGAACUGGUAGACGCGCUGGACUUAGGAUCCAGUGGGCUGACCCCGUGGGGGUUCGAGUCCCCCUUCUCGCA